UACGUAGGGUGCAAACGUUAAUCGGAAUUACUGGGCGUAAAGCGUGCGCAGGCGGUUUUGUAAGUCUGUCGUGAAAUCCCCGGGCUCAACCUGGGAAUUGCGAUGGAGACUGCAAGGCUAGAAUCUGGCAGAGGGGGGUAGAAUUCCACGUGUAGCAGUGAAAUGCGUAGAGAUGUGGAGGAACACCGAUGGCGAAGGCAGCCCCCUGGGUCAAGAUUGACGCUCAUGCACGAAAGCGUGGGGAGCAAACAGG
rnacentral:rRNA from 1 species